rnacentral:rRNA from 1 species
CCCUUAGAUGUUCUGGGCCGCACGCGCGCUACACUGACGGAGGCAGCGAGCAUGUCCUUCGCCGAGAGGUGUGGGGAAUCUUGUGAGCCUCCGUCGUGCUGGGGAUAGAUGGUUGCAAUUGUCGAUCUUGAACGAGGAAUUCCUAGUAAGCGCGAGUCAUCAGCUCGCGCUGAUUACGUCCCUGCCCUUUGUACACACCGCCCGUCGCUACUACCGAUUGGAUGGCUUAGCGAGAAUUUUGGAUCGGAGCCCGGGUGGUCGGCAACGGUCGCCCGGGAGAUCUGAGAAAUCAUUCCAGCUUGGUCAUCUAGAGGAAGUAAAAGUCGUAACA